ACUUGCCCUGGCCAACGGAUGCAGAUGAAGUAAGAGUGUGCUACUACAGAGCAGAGGCCUUUAAUGACCUCCCCAGAAAACCUAAGCCAUAGCCUAAAGCCAAACCAUUCCAGCCACCCUGCAGAUCUACCGAGGAGGAAAACUAAUGUUUGUUGUUGAAAUAUUUUUCACAUUGCCAUGUGAGAAAGUAUGGUUUGUAAACAAUCAUCAGUUCAGGAAAAAUGUCUCACCUCUCUUAAUAAACUGAGCCAUUGAGUGUGAUUUAAGAAGUAAAAAUUUAGACUACCUCAUUUCCAUCCUGGGCCCUCGCGUUCCUUCCCCUGGCUGCCGUUGUCAGCUCACCUCAUGCACCAUUCUGAGAUGAUCGAUCACCAGCUGGAGUGUAAAUUAUCACUUCCUAGAGGAGAGAUUUGGAAAUGAGACUGAGCCAGGAAUGACCAUUGGAGAAGGGUGUUGCGAAGACUGCAAUUAUAUAUUUACUAUUGCUGACACAAGAAUUAUGACAGAUUCAUUGGUAUGACCCAACGCUAUAACUGUAUGUAGUUAUUCAGCCAUCCUUGUAGUGAGAGAAGAUUCCAGUACAGUUCACAUGGGGCCACCAUUUCGGCCAAGUGAGGUGCACGG
rnacentral:lncRNA from 10 species